rnacentral:rRNA from 1 species
UACGUAGGGCGCAAGCGUUGUCCGGAAUUAUUGGGCGUAAAGAGCUCGUAGGCGGCUUGUCACGUCGAUUGUGAAAACCCGGGGCUCAACCCCGGGCCUGCAGUCGAUACGGGCAGACUAGAGUGCGGUAGGGGAGACUGGAAUUCCUGGUGUAGCGGUGAAAUGCGCAGAUAUCAGGAGGAACACCGGUGGCGAAGGCGGGUCUCUGGGCCGUAACUGACGCUGAGGAGCGAAAGCGUGGGGAGCGAACAGG